GGGGUUGUGGCUCAGUGGUACAGUGCUUGCCUAGCCUGCAUGAGGCACUGGGUUCAAUCCCCAGCACCA
rnacentral:tRNA from 1 species